rnacentral:lncRNA from 1 species
CGCAACCCCAUUUUCGGCUCUUUUUCAUUAGCUGGACACCAGGCCUUAUCUAGUCAGCCGUUCCAACCACAUUCCUGGCAAUGUGUGCCUACUUCAAGGCGCAUACAAGUGUAACUCUAAUGCAACUUAAGUGUUAGUGACGUCACACCUAUGCGCCACUGCCCUCUGUGGAGAAUGGGAGAAAUGUGCUUGCACCUCAACCUAUGGACUCGGACAUUCAAUCAUCAUCUUCCUAACUCAAGCGAGGUGGUUUCCUUCCAAUUGUAGCAGGACCAGUACGUCUGCCAGCUCCAGAUAGAGCUCCAGUGACCAGGAAGACCUCAGCAUUCGCCAAUUCCUGCUGAAUUACCGCAAACAGAAAGAACUGGCAGAGGGCAUUGGAAUAGAGGACGAUGACACUGAAGACCGAGCUACAUCCACUUCUCAAGCGCCACAGCCUGGUGAGUAUGUGAUCUGCGUUCGCUUUGGAGGGGAGCACAUCCCUAGCAGUCCAUUCCAAGUCGCAGUGAGUGAGCUGCAUUUAAUCCUACGUGCCUACAUGCUGUUUUGGCAACUUUCAUGAAUAAAACUGAGUUUUCAGUCUCAGUCAAAACAAUCGCAAACAGGCAGAGUACAGUUGUCAAGAAUGACCCUCGAGUUAGAGAAGCAGUAGUGUCUUAUGAUGAGUCUUAAGCUGCGUCAAGUCAACGACAGGAAGCACCUAUGGGCGAGAUAACUCGAGUAGAUAGGACGUGGGCAAGACCCAAGAUAAGCUUUUCUCAAAUUCUACAUAAGCAAUUUAAGUGAGUGCUAAUAAGAGUGACAGAUGCCACCGACUGAAGUAAAUGCAUAAGCAGUCCCAGAUGCCAAAGCCCUGAUUGAAUAUCUUUGUUAAAGCCAAUAAAGUCACAUAUGUUGUGUUGCUGUGAAAGCAGGAAACUGCCCAUGCUGUCCAAAAACAGCUUUUCUUUCCUGCUGUAAAGGUGGACAUGGGAGCUUAUAUGAGAAUGACUCUUGGAGGAAUCACAUUGUUUGUCACAGCUGUACUGGCUUCAUUUUUAAUUGUUUUUAUUUUUCAGCCAUUUAGUACUGAUGAAGUACUUUUAAAGUGCAUUUAAGGAAAGUUCUCAUUUCUCAGUGGAGUGUCAGUAAGACGGUAUAAAGGAGUGGGGUCUGUAUAAGAACACAUUUUCAGAUGAAUAGGCAGUUGAUGUAGAAAUGGCGCGCAUUACAAGUCGAACUUGAUAAUGAAGAGUGUUUACGUUGCUCCUCAGUACAGUAACUGCUGAGGUUACAGGAUUUACGAGUGCCCUGGAGCACAGAUCCAUUCCCCUACAG